rnacentral:rRNA from 1 species
UACUUAGUGGCGGACGGGUGAGUAACGCGUGGGCAACCUGCCCCGUGCCGGGGGAUACCGCCUGGAAACAGGCGCUAAUACCGCAUAAGCGCAUACAGCCGCAUGGGUGUAUGCGGAAAGCUCCGGCGGCACGGGAUGGGCCCGCGCCCGAUUAGCCAGUUGGCGGGGUAACGGCCCACCAAAGCGACGAUCGGUAGCCGGCCUGAGAGGGCGGACGGCCACAUUGGGACUGAGACACGGCCCAAACUCCUACGGAAGGCAGCAG